GCCUCCCCCAUGCAUGCUCUCACCAUUCCCUCAUGCUGCUCUGACAACUCAUGGGUACAGGAGGGAGCCACAGUUGACCAGAAGAGAUCUCACCCUGCGGAAACAUGGCGUAGAAACGCUAUGAGGACACUGGAUCACAGGGACAUUGACUUCUCCAAAGAUGUGCAGGUUUCUACAAACAUACCAAGAAGAGGACAAUAGCAUAGCAGCCAGCAGACUAUCAUCAUCAUCAUCACCACAUUAUUAUUCCAUCAGAUUUAACAGUGGGGAAGG